AUCUGCUAGGCAAAGUUUCAAUACCCUUAGCCCAGAAUGAAAGUGGCUGAGAGACAAAGAAGUUGGCAAGGUAAUUUUUUAGGUCGCCGGAAUUUUCGAAUUUCUUUUUACGAAGAUGCUGUUUCAAAGCCCGAAAAAGAUGAUAUGCUACAUCAGGGCUAUAAGUUGGAUGAGGUAUUGUUGUCCAACCGAGCUCCUCUAGAAAUUUACAGGUCAUUUUCGCCGUAUGUGGUCUUGCAUUAUCAUGAAGUAAUGAUAGUUCGAUAUGAGGAAUGUCUUUUAGACUUGUGUCUCCUUCAUUAAAGCGCUGGAACCAAUUUCGUACUGUGCGAUCGGUAGUAGUGUUUGGGCCAAAAGCAGUGUUAAUCUUAUUUGCUGUUUCCCUCGAACUGGUUCCCAAUUUGUGUUCGU